rnacentral:rRNA from 1 species
UACGUAGGGUCCGAGCGUUGUCCGGAAUUAUUGGGCGUAAAGAGCGUGUAGGCGGCCAGAUAAGUCCGCUGUGAAAUCUCGAGGCUCAACUUCGAGCUGUCGGUGGAAACUAUCUGGCUAGAGUCCGGAAGAGGAGAAUGGAAUUCCUGGUGUAGCGGUGAAAUGCGCAGAUAUCAGGAAGAACACCCGUGGCGAAGGCGGUUCUCUGGGACGGUACUGACGCUGAGACGCGAAAGCGUGGGGAGCGAACAGG